UACGGGGGGGGCAAGCGUUGUUCGGAAUUACUGGGCGUAAAGGGCUCGUAGGUGGCCAACUAAGUCAGACGUGAAAUCCCUCAGCUUAACUGGGGAACUGCGUCUGAUACUGGAUGGCUUGAGUUUGGGAGAGGGAUGCGGAAUUCCAGGUGUAGCGGUGAAAUGCGUAGAUAUCUGGAGGAACACCGACGGCGAAGGCAGCGCCCUGGCCGACAACUGACGCUCAGGCACGAAAGCUGGGGGAGCAAACAGG
rnacentral:rRNA from 1 species